UACGUAGGGCGCAAGCGUUGUCCGGAAUUAUUGGGCGUAAAGAGCUCGUAGGUGGCUGGUCGCGUCUGCCGUGAAAGCCCGCAGCUUAGCUGCGGGUCUGCGGUGGAUACGGGCCGGCUAGAGGUAGGUAGGGGCAAGUGGAAUUCCUGGUGUAGCGGUGAAAUGCGUAGAUAUCUGGAGGAACACCGGUGGCGAAGGCGGCAUCCUGGACCGAGAUUGACGCUGAGGCGCGAAAGCUAGGGGAGCAAACGGG
rnacentral:rRNA from 1 species